GGUGUGGAGGCCGCGCUGUAAUGGCGGCGGGGCGGCGGCGUGCUGCGCUGUGAGGGCGGGGUUGGGCUGAGCGACCUGCUUGCAUAAAGAGGAUUUCUCUCGGUACUCUUAGGGAAGAAAAAGGCUUUGAAGCUGCUGACAUAAGCACUCAGUCCCUCCUGGUUCUCUGCUUGUCCUGCACUUCUCUCAAUAGCAGAUAAAUGACCAUAAGGAGAAACUGCUCACAGACAACCCGCAUCUGCUCUGCACAGACUCACCUCCAUUUACAGAAAUAAGUGCA